CCCCUUCCCAUGGAAAUUCCUUGUAAAAAUUACCCUUCCCCAUGGAAUUUCCAUUCUAAAUUAGGCCUUCCCCAUGGAAUUUCCAUUUAAAAUUUGGCCCUGUCCAUGGAAUUUCCAUGUGUAAAUUACCCCUCCCUUUGGAAUUUCCAUCAUGGGACAUUUAUGCCCGGAAAUUUGCCUCUAACAUAUCCCAUCAAAUUUACCCCUCCCUUUGGAAAUUCCAUGUGAGAAUUACUCCUCCCCUUGGAAAUCCAGAGCCUGAAUGCCCCCUUCCCUGGAAAUUCCAGGGUUAAUGCAUUCCCUCCCCUGGAAAUUCCAGGGUUAAUGUAUUCC